GGAGGAGUCGGAUAGCGGUUCAUUCCAUACGCUUGGAAAGCGUACGUCCCGAAAGGGGCUCGCGAGUUCGAAUCUCGCCUCCUCCGCCA
rnacentral:tRNA from 1 species